rnacentral:rRNA from 1 species
UACAGAGGUCUCAAGCGUUGUUCGGAUUCAUUGGGCGUAAAGGGCGCGUAGGCGGCUGCUCAAGUCGGGUGUGAAAGCCCGGGGCUCAACCCCGGAACGGCACCCGGAGACUGGGCGGCUCGAGACCGGGAGAGGUGGGUGGAAUACCCAGUGUAGAGGUGAAAUUCGUAGAUAUUGGGUGGAACACCGGUGGCGAAAGCGGCUCACUGGCCCGGUUCUGACGCUGAGGCGCGAAAGCGUGGGGAGCAAACAGG